UGAANUUAAAGGCUGUGGCUUAACCAUAGUACGCUUUGGAAACUGUUUAACUNGAGUGCAGAAGGGGAGAGUGGAAUUCCAUGUGUAGCGGUGAAAUGCGUAGAUAUAUGGAGGAACACCGGUGGCGAAAGCGGCUCUCUGGUCUGUAACUGACGCUGAGGCUCGAAAGCGUGGGGAGCGAACAGGAUUAGAUACCCUGGUAGUCCACGCCGUAAACGAUGAGUGCUAGGUGUUAGGCCCUUUCCGGGGCUUAGUGCCGCAGCUAACGCAUUAAGCACUCCGCCUGGGGAGUACGACCGCAAGGUUGAAACUCAAAGGAAUUGACGGGGGCCCGCACAAGCGGUGGAGCAUGUGGUUUAAUUCGAAGCAACGCGAAGAACCUUACCAGGUCUUGACAUCCCGAUGCCCGCUCUAGAGAUAGAGUUUUACUUCGGUACAUCGGUGACAGGUGGUGCAUGGUUGUCGUCAGCUCGUGUCGUGAGAUGUUGGGUUAAGUCCCGCAACGAGCGCAACCCUUAUUGUUAGUUGCCAUCAUUCAGUUGGGCACUCUAGCGAGACUGCCGGUAAUAAACCGGAGGAAGGUGGGGAUGACGUCAAAUCAUCAUGCCCCUUAUGACCUGGGCUACACACGUGCUACAAUGGCUGGUACAACGAGUCGCAAGUCGGUGACGGCAAGCUAAUCUCUUAAAGCCAGUCUCAGUUCGGAUUGUAGGCUGCAACUCGCCUGCAUGAAGUCGGAAUCGCUAGUAAUCGCGGAUCAGCUCGCCGCGGUGAAUACGUUCCCGGGCCUUGUACAC
rnacentral:rRNA from 1 species